rnacentral:rRNA from 1 species
UAAGGAAUAUUGCUCAAUGGGAGAAAUCCUGAAGCAGCAACGCCGCGUGGAGGAUGAAGGGUCUAUGACUUGUAAACUCCUGUAAAGAAGGAAAAAAUUCCCAUUUGAUGGGAGAUGAUGGUACUUCUGGAGUAAGCCCCGGCUAACUACGUGCCAGCAGCCGCGGUAAUACGUAGGGGGCAAGCGUUGUCCGGAUUUACUGGGUGUAAAGGGUGCUCAGGCGGAUUUGUAAGUCAGAGGUGAAAUCUUACAGCUUAACUGUGAAACUGCCUUUGAUACUGCAAGCCUAGAGUAUGGAAGAGAGUGAUGGAAUAUCUGGUGUAGCAGUGAAAUGCGUAGAUAUCAGAUAGAACACCAAUGGCGAAGGCAGUCACUUGGUCCAUUACUGACGCUAAAGCACGAAAGCGUGGGUAGCAAAC